UUGUUUGUCACCAGCCAUUGUCGUGGAGGAAGCCAACUUGUUGUUCUGGUACAUGUGAAAUUGUGAAUUGGUUGAUCUUCAAAUUGAAGAACUGAAUUUAACUUUAACUUUAUAGUGAACAGUGGUAAAUCAUAAUAACGUGGUAUAAAUGGGCGAAAGCGAGACAUUAACAUUGAGAUGUUGACGUGUGGAUUGAUGAAGAAAGCUUUCAAGCAUGGUGUCUAAAGCUCAUGCAUCACCCAUACUGGAAAUGUACCUGAACAAUUAUCUCCUCGGAAACAGUGUUCCACCUAAUCAGACUGAAUGUGGCAACAGGCUCUGGAUCGACCUAAAGGAUUCUUCUCUACUCUGGAACCAGGAAGGAUGACAACCGCCCGGACAACCGUUCUUCCAGUCUUCACACUCUGUAUGAUCCUGCCCCUUAACUCAACCUUUGCUAGCGAGCGCAAUUCAUUCCUUUUUCCUUAUUCAUCUGGAUUUGGAUCUCACACCAGGAAUCUUCAUCGAACUUAGUCAGUUACGAUUUGAGGCCAUCGUAACAACAUGAUACACAAGUUCUGCUUGUGCUGAGUCUGUCAUCAGUCUGUCUGUCUCACCUAACAUCACCGAAUAUCUCAGCAUCUUCACUUAGAUAAAAAGCAUCCCUUUGCAUUGGAAAAACUACCGAUGUCAAUCGAGUUACGCAUCUCUUCUUUACCCCUUUCUUUAAAUGUCCUCGUGUACGCCCAUGUGAAUGUGGGUGUAUUCACGAGGACACCCUUUUUACCCUAUCCUGUCUGGUGUAAUUGAACUCUUCAACGGAUGGAUGGAGCAACUGACGUAGAUGCCUGGCUGUAUUUCCCAGGCAUAAAGUUGGGGGUCGCUUUUUGGAGAACUACUUCCUUCAGCGGACAGCCGAGGACAGAGAUGGGAGCCGAAUUUUCUCCAACCUUGCCGAUUCACACGCACCUGAUAAAUUCACAGUUUCGAGCGUCGGACGGAGGCAUGUGAAGUGCAGGGAAGGAACGCGCCAAAGAUCAUGAGAGUUCGGUAACGCACACCUGUGAAGACAAAAUCCCCUCUCCCUGGAACUAUUCACAGUGGCAUCAUGUGAACUCCCAAGUUACAAACUUCGUUGGGGUCCGUUACGAGUUCAAAUGUGUGGGACCGGGAAAAUACACCACGAAACACAAUUGAGCAUGCGUCGCUAGAUGCCACUGAUGUCAUUGUUUCGAACUUCAAGAACUCAGUGGCUUUCUGUUGGAUUAUUUCAAAACAACUUCAGCCUAAGAAUUUGAAUUAAAAGUUAUGGAGCUAGGUCCGUAUGUAAAACAGUGUUUGAAACUUAGAUUCGGUUGCAGUGGAAUAUUUAAAAAAAAAAAAAAAAAAAAAAAAAGACUGUCCUUCAAAUGGUUCGAAAUGGAAGAUUUAUUCAUUCCCGAAGAAACGAGUCAAAUGACUCAAAUGUAUCUGGUAUAAAGUGUCAAAAGUGAGUUUUAAGCCAUAACUAUUUAUAGUAUUCAUUUUGAUAUUGGUUGUUGUAGACCCAUCCCCAGCAAU